UCACAAGCUCUGUGUAUCUGUGCUUUACUUCAGUUCAUUGAUCUCCUGUGUCUCUCGGUUUUUCAUCUUUGAUGUCAAUCUCAAUAUCUCCAUACCUCUUAAUUACCACGAAUUCUAUCCUUCGACUUGUUCAACAGCUUUCAAUCUGCAAGAUAGAAUUCAUGUUAAUUGAGAGUCAUGGAGAUAUUGAGAUUGACAUCAGAGAUGAAAAAUUAAGAGACCAUGUAAAUAUAAUGCAGUAAAGCACUCGUACAUACAGUGUCAGUUUAUGUUCAAUAUGUAUAUGGCUUGCUCAAACUCUUCAACUUUAUCGAUCAAGGUCCGAGUGUUCAUCUUGAAGGAGGGCUUGUUAAUCAGGACGAAUCAGAGUUUAUUGUUCAGUGAUGAGGCUGACGAUCGAUGGCUCGAACUUCAAAAGAGAAGAGCUUUUCCAUGAUCCAUCUGUUUUAGCUCUACUCUGAUUGUGGUUCUCUUGUUUUAUGGGUUUGUUGGUGAAGGAAAGAAAGAAGACGGCAUGAAGAAAGAUGGUUUGAAGGUCCGAUAGAGAAUUGUGAAUUGUGUAUUGUUAAGAUUCGCCCCGAUGCACCCACUCUUGAAGGUUCAAGGACUAUGAGAUUCUAGUUCGAAGGCAACUUUGGUGUUGAAGAUCUAUUCUAUUUGAUUCAAAUCUGGUAUGGAGGAAGGAGAGAGAAAAAGAAAAGGAACUUGAAAAAAAUGACGACGAGAUUUGAGAGGGCACAUGAGUGGACAGAGGUCACGUGAAAGAAAGAAUAGAAAAGGUAAAACAGAGCGGAGGUCACGUGAAAAGAAGGUGAGAGAGAGAGAGAAGGGUAGUGGAUUUUCAGCCUAGUAUAAAAAUAUGUAUUUUAAGAUAUUAAUAUUAUAAAAUGGGAAAAAUUACCAUAAAGUUUUA